CAGCAUGCAACGGGCUCAGGGAGAGUGCGCUAAUCAGUGGAGGAAGGGGCUAGGCUCUGCACGCCUGGCUGGUCUUGCUGGGAGAUGCAGUCUCAUAAACACUCCCAGCCCUUUGGUCACAGGACUGCAGCGCUACAAUCCUAGCAUGGACCGGGCUCAGGGAAAGUGUGCGUCACUGGAGGAAGAGGCAGGGUUGUGCGCGCCUCUCUAGGCUUGGUGGAAGAUGCCGUCUCAUAAACACUCCCAGAACUUUCAUCACUGGCCUGCAGGACUACAAUCCCAGCAUGCGCCCGGCUCAGGGACAGUGCGCAUUACUGGAGGAAAAGGCUAGGCUGUGGACACCUCCUUCUGCUUGCUAGGAGAUGUAGUUUCAUAAAGACUUCCAGAACUUUCAUCACAGGGCUGCAGGACUACCAUACCAGGUUCUUCUUUCAGCUGUACCCAGGGUUCUUUCCAGAGCAUUGCGCCUUCUGCAGCCCAGGGCGCUGCCUUCUUUCCUAAACUUCUGUGGAAACUGUCCUGAUGUCUGAGACACUGUCCAUUGUGCCGCAGCCCUCUUUUUACUCUAGCCAGAGCUCAUGCUCAACAGCUUUUGAGAGAAAUCUUCCACGUGGCCUGCUUAUGAACAGCUUCAGAACUCUGCAGGGGGUGACAACGUCUGUGCCUCCCUGGAAAUGUCACUCUCAAUGGCGCCUUUUUCACGAAUGUGAAAGUCAAGGCAUCAGGAAGGUUAAUUAUUGGGUGGCACAAAAUCUGCUAAGAGCAAAGGAGAAGACCCCAUUUCCGAGGAGUGAGACUUGUGAGCCAUUUUCAUCCACCCAUUUAAGCGGACAAGCUCCAAAAUGCAAGCUGAAGCUGCUGAUUAUUUAGGCAUUUUACGCUUGAACUCAUCAGUCUCAUCUCAAGUCACGCCUGACUUGCCAGUGUCUCAGAAACACAGAUGGGACCUGAUCUCUCAGGAACAGAUAGUGUUCCAGGUUUGUUGGAGCGACAUUUAAGAUGUGGAGCACUUGGGGUCCUUUGAAACCCGCUAUCUUCAUUAGGGACUUUUACUUCUAGACAGCAUGUGCAUUUUGAUUUUAUCUAUCCUCAAACUGAACUUUUGCUCAUUUUAAUAGUAAAAACACAUUCCUGGGUGGAGACUUAAUAUGCUAAUGAGACAUGCAAUGUAUGCACAAAUAUGUACAGCUACUGCACAUGUGCACCCAGAAAACGACUCAAAACCUGCUUCCUAUAACACUUCUUUCCACCUUCUUAUGAAUAAUCACGUAAAAGUCCCAGAAGGAGGGUUUCUUCAGUAACAAUUAAUGCUGUCUCACUCUUAUGAGCAGGCUGCCCUGGAAUCUCUUUCUCAGAAUGUACCGUCUAUUCUGCACUUAAUUUUCAAAGUAUUCUUUUGUGUGUGUGUGUGCAAUAAAUUACUCUAUGCGGUA